UACGUAGGGGGCAAGCGUUGUCCGGAUUCAUUGGGCGUAAAGAGCUCGUAGGCGGCUUGGCAAGUCGGGUGUGAAACCUCCAGGCUCAACCUGGAGACGCCACCCGAUACUGCCAUGGCUAGAGUCCGGUAGGGGACCACGGAAUACCUGGUGUAGCGGUGAAAUGCGCAGAUAUCAGGAGGAACACCAGUGGCGAAGGCGGUUCUCUGGGACGGUACUGACGCUGAGACGCGAAAGCGUGGGGAGCGAACAGG
rnacentral:rRNA from 1 species